rnacentral:rRNA from 1 species
AAAUUGAAGAGUUUGAUCAUGGCUCAGAUUGAACGCUGGCGGCAGGCCUAACACAUGCAAGUCGAACGGUAACAGGAAGAAGCUUGCUUCUUUGCUGACGAGUGGCGGACGGGUGAGUAAUGUCUGGGAAACUGCCUGAUGGAGGGGGAUAACUACUGGAAACGGUAGCUAAUACCGCAUAACGUCGCAAGACCAAAGAGGGGGACCUUCGGGCCUCUUGCCAUCGGAUGUGCCCAGAUGGGAUUAGCUUGUUGGUGGGGUAACGGCUCACCAAGGCGACGAUCCCUAGCUGGUCUGAGAGGAUGACCAGCCACACUGGAACUGAGACACGGUCCAGACUCCUACGGGAGGCAGCAGUGGGGAAUAUUGCACAAUGGGCGCAAGCCUGAUGCAGCCAUGCCGCGUGUAUGAAGAAGGCCUUCGGGUUGUAAAGUACUUUCAGCGGGGAGGAAGGGAGUAAAGUUAAUACCUUUGCUCAUUGACGUUACCCGCAGAAGAAGCACCGGCUAACUCCGUGCCAGCAGCCGCGGUAAUACGGAGGGUGCAAGCGUUAAUCGGAAUUACUGGGCGUAAAGCGCACGCAGGCGGUUUGUUAAGUCAGAUGUGAAAUCCCCGGGCUCAACCUGGGAACUGCAUCUGAUACUGGCAAGCUUGAGUCUCGUAGGGGGGUAGAAUUCCGGUGUAGCGGUGAAAUGCGUAGAGAUCUGGAGGAAUACCGGUGGCGAAGGCGGCCCCCUGGACGAAGACUGACGCUCAGGUGCGAAAGCGUGGGGAGCAAACAGGAUUAGAUACCCUGGUAGUCCACGCCGUAAACGAUGUCGACUUGGAGGUUGUGCCCUUGAGGCGUGGCUUCCGGAGCUAACGCGUUAAGUCGACCGCCUGGGGAGUACGGCCGCAAGGUUAAAACUCAAAUGAAUUGACGGGGGGGCCCGCACAAGCGGUGGAGCAUGUGGUUUAAUUCGAUGCAACGCGAAGAACCUUACCUGGUCUUGACAUCCACAGAACUUUCCAGAGAUGGAUUGGUGCCUUCGGGAACUGUGAGACAGGUGCUGCAUGGCUGUCGUCAGCUCGUGUUGUGAAAUGUUGGGUUAAGUCCCGCAACGAGCGCAACCCUUAUCCUUUGUUGCCAGCGGUCCGGCCGGGAACUCAAAGGAGACUGCCAGUGAUAAACUGGAGGAAGGUGGGGAUGACGUCAAGUCAUCAUGGCCCUUACGACCAGGGCUACACACGUGCUACAAUGGCGCAUACAAGAGAAGCGACCUCGCGAGAGCAAGCGGACCUCAUAAAGUGCGUCGUAGUCCGGAUUGGAGUCUGCAACUCGACUCCAUGAAGUCGGAAUCGCUAGUAAUCGUGGAUCAGAAUGCCACGGUGAAUACGUUCCCGGGCCUUGUACACACCGCCCGUCACACCAUGGGAGUGGGUUGCAAAAGAAGUAGGUAGCUUAACCUUCGGGAGGGCGCUUACCACUUUGUGAUUCAUGACUGGGGUGAAGUCGUAACAAGGUAACCGUAGGGGAACCUGCGGUUGGAUCACCUCCUUACCUUAAAGAAGC